rnacentral:SRP_RNA from 1 species
UAGGCGGAGCAACACUUGUGCGUGAAGUGGGUCAGGGGAGGAAUCCAGCAGCCCUAAGCGAUUUUCGGGUGUGUGCUCUUU